AGUGAACGCUGGCGGUAGGCCUAACACAUGCAAGUCGAACGGCAGCACAGUAAGAGCUUGCUCUUACGGGUGGCGAGUGGCGGACGGGUGAGGAAUACAUCGGAAUCUACUUUUUCGUGGGGGAUAACGUAGGGAAACUUACGCUAAUACCGCAUACGACCUACGGGUGAAAGCAGGGGAUCUUCGGACCUUGCGCGAUUGAAUGCGCCGAUGUCGGAUUAGCUAGUUGGCGGGGUAAAGGCCCACCAAGGCGACGAUCCGUAGCUGGUCUGAGAGGAUGAUCAGCCACACUGGAGCGGAGACACGGUCCAGACUCCUACGGGAGGCAGCAGUGGGGAAUAUGAGGCAAUGGGCGCAAGCCUGAUCCAGCCAUACCGCGUGGGUGAAGAAGGCCUUCGGGUUGUAAAGCCCUUUUGUGGGGAAAGAAAAGCAGCAGGUUAAUACCCCGCUGUUCUGACGGUACCCAAAGAAGAAGCACCGGCUAACUUCGUG
rnacentral:rRNA from 1 species